GUAUUUAUAAAAGCGCCUGAACUAAGCAAAGAGACGGAACUGUUGCUUAGUUGACGAGGAGGAGGUUUAUCGAUAUUUCGGCGGAUGCCUCCCGGCUGAAUGUGACCACAGCCGUAAUUUUCUUGUCUAAAUCAGCGAGGUGACUCGUUGGACAACGACAGAAAAGUGGUUUCUU
rnacentral:ncRNA from 2 species